UUUCAAAUAAUUCUAAGACACUACUAAGAUAAACUGGAGACAAAUCAGCAUCGCUACAGAGAAAGAUCUUUUUUGCAAAGCAGUGAAUACAAGGAAGUCUACUGAUAUAAUUGAUUUUUAACUUUCAAAAAGCCUUUGACCUUACUGCCCACAAGAGGCUACUGAGGACAUCAGUGUUGUGAUCCCACUUCUGCUUUCAUCAGUAGCAUUCUUUACUCAUGUGACGCCCCAUUAACAUCAAGGACCUAGCAGUUUGCCCACGUGGAAGAAAUUGCAGUCGGCUCCUACCCAGACACUGACAGGGUAUUAUACGAUAAAGCGACACUGAGACCUGGAAUAGUGUUCCUCACUCUAAAUGUUUCCUUGUUUUUUGCUACUUGCUUGAUUUAUUUUUUUUUUUUUUUUUAGGUUAUAAGCCCUUUGGAACAGAGACUAUUCUCCACAGUGACUAGCUGUAGACCAAGCAACUAGCGGGUUGUGCUUUACAGAAAUUUAUGAAAUGCGGUCUCAAAACCUAAGAAAAAAAGAAAGCAACUUGGUGGCAGCCAGAAUUUUUCAUGCUCAAAGGAAAAAUUCCUCUGAAACACGACAGGCUGCUGAUUUACAUUACAGGACUUCCCAGUUAUAUCAUUAGGAUCAUCUUGUUGGAGAGAUGACCAUGAAGUGACAACAAAGCCAUCCUUUCCCAGCCAGAUUCCUGCCUUAAAGGACACUCAGUCUCUCCAACAGAGCACUAAUGCUGAAGAGGUUAAAAAGACAAAGAAAGCACAUCCUCAUACAAUCAGGAUGCUAAACGCAGCUGAGCAAAGCAAAGCAAAGUGCAGAUGCAAGACAGAAAUAAAAUAUGCAGCAAACCGAGAAGGAAAAGAAUAAAGAAGCCAGUAUGGCAGACAGUGAGAAACUAAACAAACACAUUCAAAACACAGCCCACGAGGGAAGCAAACAUGCACCAAGUAUAAUAUGGAAGGAAAAGUCAGGCUUGGGCCAUCCCCACACAUUGGCAGCACAUGAAGAGAGUCAGCAAAUGCAAGCUGUAUGGGUUUCUCUGCAAACAAAGGCUUGAUUUUCAGAAAUGGAAUUUUCUUCUUCCCGUGAAGCAGCAGAUCGCUUUGUAAAAGUCCAUCUCUCUAAAAAGUCAAGAUGAAUACCAGAGUGUGGUUUAGUGUUUUGUCUUCUGGGGAAAUGUUUAUCCACACUAACUGGGGGUAAUUGGAAAGGAAUCGUUAUAAAUUAUCUGUGGAACUUUGAAAUUUAUCUUUUUUAUUGUGUCAUGUUCUGGCAGUCAAGCAAAAGUUAGUUAAUGUUGGCAGUUCAGGAGGAAAGCUGGAACAGGAAACAUCAGGAACAGCUAAUGCAGUGAAUAGCUACUCACAGCAUAAUUUCUAAUACGUGGAUGCUACACAUGCACCUGGAGCAAGAUGUGCACAUGUAUGCCCAUGUGCAUGUGCAUGCACACCUCUGCCAUGCAGACACUGAGGAAAGAGGCAGAAAGACUGAAGGAGCAAACAGCCUAAGAGCACUGAACCCAUGUUCACACAUGUUAGACCUCUGUCCCAAGCCCACCCACAAUGAGCCCUUUCUGUUCACUUUGCUAGUCUUGAAAAAUGUGACAAAGAGCCCUGGCAUGUGGGAAAAAGCUAGUGGUUUGCUAAAGCUCUUAGGAGUUGGUCUGCUUUUUUAAUCCUUUGUUAAAUGUGCUCGCAGCCCAGACUACAUA